GAUUAAGUUAUUAAGGGCGCACGGUGGAUGCCUUGGCACUAGAAGCCGAUGAAGGACGUUACUAACGACGAUAUGCUUUGGGGAGCUGUAAGUAAGCUUUGAUCCAGAGAUUUCCGAAUGGGGAAACCCAACAUGAGUUAUGUCAUGUUAUCGAUAUGUGAAUACAUAGCAUAUCAGAAGGCACACCCGGAGAACUGAAACAUCUUAGUACCCGGAGGAAGAGAAAGAAAAUUCGAUUCCCUUAGUAGCGGCGAGCGAAACGGGAAGAGCCCAAACCAACAAGCUUGCUUGUUGGGGUUGUAGGACACUCUAUACGGAGUUACAAAGGACGACAUUAGACGAAUCAUCUGGAAAGAUGAAUCAAAGAAGGUAAUAAUCCUGUAGUCGAAAAUGUUGUCUCUCUUGAGUGGAUCCUGAGUACGACGGAGCACGUGAAAUUCCGUCGGAAUCUGGGAGGACCAUCUCCUAAGGCUAAAUACUCUCUAGUGACCGAUAGUGAACCAGUACCGUGAGGGAAAGGUGAAAAGCACCCCGGAAGGGGAGUGAAAUAGAACCUGAAACCGUGUGCUUACAAGUAGUCAGAGCCCGUUAAUGGGUGAUGGCGUGCCUUUUGUAGAAUGAACCGGCGAGUUACGAUUUGAUGCAAGGUUAAGCAGUAAAUGUGGAGCCGUAGCGAAAGCGAGUCUGAAUAGGGCGUUUAGUAUUUGGUCGUAGACCCGAAACCAGGUGAUCUACCCUUGGUCAGGUUGAAGUUCAGGUAACACUGAAUGGAGGACCGAACCGACUUACGUUGAAAAGUGAGCGGAUGAACUGAGGGUAGCGGAGAAAUUCCAAUCGAACCUGGAGAUAGCUGGUUCUCUCCGAAAUAGCUUUAGGGCUAGCCUCAAGUGAUGAUUAUUGGAGGUAGAGCACUGUUUGGACGAGGGGCCCCUCUCGGGUUACCGAAUUCAGACAAACUCCGAAUGCCAAUUAAUUUAACUUGGGAGUCAGAACAUGGGUGAUAAGGUCCGUGUUCGAAAGGGAAACAGCCCAGACCACCAGCUAAGGUCCCAAAAUAUAUGUUAAGUGGAAAAGGAUGUGGCGUUGCCCAGACAACUAGGAUGUUGGCUUAGAAGCAGCCAUCAUUUAAAGAGUGCGUAAUAGCUCACUAGUCGAGUGACACUGCGCCGAAAAUGUACCGGGGCUAAACAUAUUACCGAAGCUGUGGAUUGUCCUUUGGACAAUGGUAGGAGAGCGUUCUAAGGGCGUUGAAGCAUGAUCGUAAGGACAUGUGGAGCGCUUAGAAGUGAGAAUGCCGGUGUGAGUAGCGAAAGACGGGUGAGAAUCCCGUCCACCGAUUGACCAAGGUUUCCAGAGGAAGGCUCGUCCGCUCUGGGUUAGUCGGGUCCUAAGCUGAGGCCGACAGGCGUAAGCGAUGGAUAACAGGUUGAUAUUCCUGUACCACCUAUAAUCGUUUUAAUCGAUGGGGGGACGCAGUAGGAUAGGCGAAGCGUGCGAUUGGAUUGCACGUCUAAGCAGUAAGGCUGAGUAUUAGGCAAAUCCGGUACUCGUUAAGGCUGAGCUGUGAUGGGGAGAAGACAUUGUGUCUUCGAGUCGUUGAUUUCACACUGCCGAGAAAAGCCUCUAGAUAGAAAAUAGGUGCCCGUACCGCAAACCGACACAGGUAGUCAAGAUGAGAAUUCUAAGGUGAGCGAGCGAACUCUCGUUAAGGAACUCGGCAAAAUGACCCCGUAACUUCGGGAGAAGGGGUGCUCUUUAGGGUUAACGCCCAGAAGAGCCGCAGUGAAUAGGCCCAAGCGACUGUUUAUCAAAAACACAGGUCUCUGCUAAACCGUAAGGUGAUGUAUAGGGGCUGACGCCUGCCCGGUGCUGGAAGGUUAAGAGGAGUGGUUAGCUUCUGCGAAGCUACGAAUCGAAGCCCCAGUAAACGGCGGCCGUAACUAUAACGGUCCUAAGGUAGCGAAAUUCCUUGUCGGGUAAGUUCCGACCCGCACGAAAGGCGUAACGAUUUGGGCACUGUCUCAACGAGAGACUCGGUGAAAUCAUAGUACCUGUGAAGAUGCAGGUUACCCGCGACAGGACGGAAAGACCCCGUGGAGCUUUACUGUAGCCUGAUAUUGAAAUUCGGCACAGCUUGUACAGGAUAGGUAGGAGCCUUUGAAACGUGAGCGCUAGCUUACGUGGAGGCGCUGGUGGGAUACUACCCUAGCUGUGUUGGCUUUCUAACCCGCACCACUUAUCGUGGUGGGAGACAGUGUCAGGCGGGCAGUUUGACUGGGGCGGUCGCCUCCUAAAAGGUAACGGAGGCGCUCAAAGGUUCCCUCAGAAUGGUUGGAAAUCAUUCAUAGAGUGUAAAGGCAUAAGGGAGCUUGACUGCGAGACCUACAAGUCGAGCAGGGUCGAAAGACGGACUUAGUGAUCCGGUGGUUCCGCAUGGAAGGGCCAUCGCUCAACGGAUAAAAGCUACCCCGGGGAUAACAGGCUUAUCUCCCCCAAGAGUUCACAUCGACGGGGAGGUUUGGCACCUCGAUGUCGGCUCAUCGCAUCCUGGGGCUGUAGUCGGUCCCAAGGGUUGGGCUGUUCGCCCAUUAAAGCGGUACGCGAGCUGGGUUCAGAACGUCGUGAGACAGUUCGGUCCCUAUCCGUCGUGGGCGUAGGAAAUUUGAGAGGAGCUGUCCUUAGUACGAGAGGACCGGGAUGGACAUACCUCUGGUGUACCAGUUGUCGUGCCAACGGCAUAGCUGGGUAGCUAUGUGUGGACGGGAUAAGUGCUGAAAGCAUCUAAGCAUGAAGCCCCCCUCAAGAUGAGAUUUCCCAACUUCGGUUAUAAGAUCCCUCAAAGAUGAUGAGGUUAAUAGGUUCGAGGUGGAAGCAUGGUGACAUGUGGAGCUGACGAAUACUAAUCGAUCGAAGACUUAAUCAA
rnacentral:rRNA from 1 species